rnacentral:piRNA from 1 species
UGCUUGAGUUUCAGAUGUGAGCUCCCAGU